rnacentral:rRNA from 1 species
GACGAACGCUGGCGGCGUGCCUAAUACAUGCAAGUAGGACGCACAGUCUAUACCGUAGCUUGCUACACCAUAGGCUGUGAGUUGCGAACGGGUGAGCAACGCGUAGGUAACCUGCCUAUUAGAGGGGGAUAACUAUUGGAAACGAUAGCUAAUACCGCAUAACAGUAUGUAACACAUGUUAGAUGCUUGAAAGAUGCAAUUGCAUCGCUAGUAGAUGGACCUGCGUUGUAUUAGCUAGUAGGUAGGGUAAUGGCCUACCUAGGCGACGAUACAUAGCCGACCUGAGAGGGUGAUCGGCCACACUGGGACUGAGACACGGCCCAGACUCCUACGGGAGGCAGCAGUAGGGAAUCUUCGGCAAUGGGGGGAACCCUGACCGAGCAACGCCGCGUGAGUGAAGAAGGUUUUCGGAUCGUAAAGCUCUGUUGUUAAGGAAGAACGAGUGUGAGAAUGGGAAGUUCAUACUGUGACGGUACUUAACCAGAAAGGGACGGCUAACUACGUG